AGAUCUACAUGGACAUGUCUCAGCAGACGGGUGGAGCACUUCAUCAUCCACUUCUCCACAGACCAUGUUUUCACGAGGUCAAGCUAUGAAGUGACCACCUGACUGAUGCACACAAGAAAUGGAGGGCAGCAAGCCUGCACGAGAUGGCCCCAUCAAAAAUGAACCACAUAUGCAAAGCCAGCAUGUACAUUAAGUUCGCGCUGACAAGCUGCAGCUGGUUUCAGGUACACCAGUCGAUGAAGUCUACCAGGAUGUGGUCAACAAUAUAGUAAGCUACACAUAGUAUGACUUUCCCCACAGGUCUUUGCAGCAAACCCACAGCUUUUUUGGAGGUAACUUCACUGCACAGCUUUCAACCUACUGGAUAAAUUGUAAUGGUUAUUCACUGUUGGUACAGUAGCUAUUUCUAUUCUUGAGCUCAUGUCAUUUAUUUUCUUUCUUUCUUUCCUAAAUGUCUGAAAGUGUAAAAUAAUACUUGAUGUGUAGUUAGAUACCUUUUGGGUAUAAAACUUCAAAGAAGGUGAAGUAAUGAAGAAAACAUAAUAAUCAAAGUUCCCACUUAGAUUUAUUACUUAUUAUUCCUAUGAAUAUUUUUCAAUUUUUAGAAUGCAUGCCAUAUAGAAAAAAACUGUGAAGCUUUCAGUUUUUAGCCCUCCAUUUAUUAACAGUAGUUCCAUUCAACGUCCAUGAACAGCAUAUGUAAUUUUAGUGAAAUCUAUAAGCAAUUAAGUUUAUUUAGCAUUCAAAGGUCUGCUAGAAGUUUUCAGUUUUCACAAUGAUCAAACGCAGGUUUUCUGUUUUGAAUUAUGACCAAAUGACUAAGACCCAAGAAAUUUACCUAUCGUGCACUUCAGUAAGGACUUCACUCUGUCCUAGGCAUCCAGUAAAAUACAGCAGGAUGUACAAGACAUAAAUAAGCAGAGUCACAGCCAAUGUGAUCUUUGUUCUUUCUCUUUAUUCUGAUUCAUAUUUGCUUAUUGCUAUAUCUAACUAUGCAUCUAGGUAGAGUCAUAAGAUUGCCACCCAAUUAUUUUAUGGUAAGACUAUUUAAAUGGUGGACUGUUCUCUGUGAUAAGGCACACACCAUACUCUCUCAAUUAAAUCAGAACAGAGCAUUUGAUAAAGAUCUGUGAUAACUUUACCACACACUGUCAUAACUUUACCUAUUUGUGUCAAUGUUUGCUGGACACAGACAGUUUAUGGGAAAACAUCAGUUAGACCAUUUGGAUGCCUUUGAGAGCUUCCUAGGGCUCUGGGUGAAACUCAUGAUUAAUCUGCACUGUAGCUCUUUCUUUCAAAAGUCAAGCCUCUUUUAUUUUUCUUUGGGGAGGGGAGUGGUGAAGAAAGGGACUUAGAUUUUAGCUAGCAAGUGGCAUUUUUAUGGAUGAUUUCAUAAAGAGCCACGCAAAAGGAUUAAAUGCAAAUCUUGUCAGAGAACUGAUGAGCAUUUGUAAAAAUAGACAGUAUUUGGAUUCAGAUAUUUGUGAAAGGUAUUUAAAGCAUCACAAUACAUUUUUUCAGCUGAGCAAGUAUUCAGACUGGAACCACACAAGGUAAAUUUAGAGAUUUCCAUAUGUGAUCCACAGAACACAGGUCUACAAUUCUGUUUCUAGACCUGGAGAUCCAGUGUCAACUCUGAGGUCAACCAAGUGUUGAACCAUGCAGUAGCUAUUCCUUCAGUGAGGUUCAAGAAAGUCUGUGACUUCCCUCUGCUCCACAAAGUUGUCAGUUUUCAAAAAAUCUGCAAGAACUACAUACCUUCAAGAUCUUUGCCUCCCUCUCAAUUUGCUUUUGUUUAGUCAACCUUUUCUAAACAUACUAAUGUAAUGUACUGUUCACACAUACAAGAAAUGUAAUUAUUAUUUCCCUUCUCAGCAAACCAGGCUAUAAACCUUAGAAAAUAAGCCUUUGAGAUUCUUCCAGACUUCCAGUAUUAAGCGUAGUGUUGUCUCAUAGUGUAUACAACCCCCACUGUUUUGCACAGAACAAUUGAUUUGUGAGAAGAGUAUCUAGUAAUUAGUUGUUUUUUUAACAGUCAUGCCAUUUGACAUAUUAAACGUUGUGCAUUACUUAAACAAUAGAGUAGAAAUAUCAAUAGUCUGGUGCCACUGGGUAUGACUCUUUUCCAUUAGAGUGCAUAUAUGUGUGAGACUGUGAAUGGUGAGUAAUAGAGGACUAUGUUUCUUUAUGAUGUAUCUGAUGAAGUCAGCGCUAACUUCCAAUACAACAGAUAUCUGGAGCUAGACAAAUAUAUCAGGAUUUUAGUUAUCUUUCUAGGGCUCGAUCAGAGGCUGAUUUUCAGGUUUAAUAAGAAAUUAACUGGAUUUUAUGCUAAGAGAUACCUUAAGCCAAACCUUCCCUACCCUUUACCUCACUGACAACAGCUCAGGAGUAGUUUUCCUUACUUUGGACUCUCUGUGAUGCUGACGGCAAGGGUUAUUUUGGGUCUCUGUUGUUCCUGUUUUCCCUUUUCUUUUUCUUCUUCCAGUGUUGCUAUUUAGCCUGGAGAAAAGAUGACGUAAGGGAGAACUAAACCCUCUGUGAAGGUUUUUGAGAAGAUGGAGCCAAACUCUUCACAGCAGGUCAAGAAGAGGCAUACAGAUAUACUGAAAUGCAACCUGCACCCCUAGAGGUUUCCAUUAUAGCCCCCUGGACAAAGCUCUAACCUGGUCUGAAUUCAGUGGCCAGGCUUUGAACAGAAUGCUGGACUAGAGUCAUCCUAAGAUUGCUUCAAACCAGAAUUAUUCAGCUGAGUUAUUCAAUCAUUUUAAGAUUCUAUGAUUGUCUUUUAAAUUCUCUCCCUGUAUGAAGAUAUAUCUGGAAGCACUGACUUGUUAUAAGAUGUUGAUCUGAAGAAUGAUCAUAAGCAGUCAUUACCAGGAUUUGUCAUUGAUGAUGCUGUAAUAAAGUUUUGAGUCUGAAUGUGUUCAUUCAAAUAGUUGCAAUGAUAUGUAAUGUCAUAUGUAAAAAUAGAGCCUUGCUUAGUAGUUCCUCACUUAGUUUUGGUCUGUAGCUUACUUGAUAAACUACCCUGGACACAAGCUGUCCCUGGGGUCCCUAAUAGUGCUGUUAGGUUUCAUGGCUUCUUAGGCCAUCAGUCCUGUAACUGUUAAAUGUUACUCUAAGUUUAUAGAAGUGAGAAGGAAAUGAACUGUACACAUUUCAGCUCCCUAAGUCUUCUAGAUGAUCAUACAUUUGUUUGAGGAUCAUUAGAUUCAUUGAGACCCCACCUGGCUUUGGGUAAUUUCUUUAAAACUAUCAUAUUACUGGUAGAACUUGCUUUCAAUAAGGUUUUUGUAUUAUGGGGAAGUUAUUUACAACCUUGGUGGGUUCCCCUUUGAAGUCAUUUGUCUUGUUGAGAGGGGAAGUGGAGCUGGCCUUUGAAGAGUCUCAUUUCAUCUUGGAUCUCUCACUUUGAAGUACACUUUACCCUGUGGGCAUACCCUGUGGAAAAUCUCUCAUUGUUCAUGGGUCUCCUAAGAAAAUAUUCCCUAGAGGCACACUUCCCUGAAGAAUAAUUUACCUUGGAGAUAUGUGCAGUGAUGUAUUUUUCAUCCUUGCCAACAGCAGACAGAGUCUAGUUAUACCAACCGCUCAAAUUAUUUUAUAGAGAAAAUAUAGGUGAUUGUUAGUAGAAUAUAUAGAGGACAGUUGCAUAGUGUGUACAACAUCCAAAUCUUGAUAAACUCAACUUACUUCCUUAAUGCUACUGAAAAAAAAAAUAUAAGGUAUUUCAGUACCAACACUCUGUCCUUAGACAUCCUUAAUUAUUUGAAUACUUUAACGCUGAGGCCUUCUCAUUCUUAUCUUUUUAGGUGAAAAAUUCUCUGAGAGCCUGAAGAAAAAACUGCAACCUUUGACCAUCUUACUUGUUUGAUAUUAUGGCCCUUUCCAUGGCAACAGAUUGUGAUGUCAUGCAUGGACAGAUUAUGAGGUCAAAAAUUGCCCAGGAUGGAGCCAGGGGAGGAUGUAGGAAAGAUUCUGGAACUACGUAAAUAUAUUUCAAAGUAUUCAAAAGAAGUGGAAAACACACUUACAUUAAAGGUAUCAAAAGCAUCAAACCACAAGGAAGGUGCUUAUCAUAAACUCAGAUUACAAAUGGCAAAAUCAAGGCACAGGAUAUUUUUUCUGCUUUGCACAGGAAAAAAUGCUUUCAACAAUUUGAAAAUAAUCUUCCACGUGUAUAGCAAACCAAGACUCUGUUCUACCCAUUUACAGAAGGAGAUAUUAAUACAAAUGAAGAGUGAAUCUGAAUGAAGAGACCUUGCAAUGAGGCCAUCUCAAGGCUAUCAAGACCACAAUGCAGUUUCUCAAAUUCCCUGAAGCAGAAAUGCUGCCUACUUCUCUGCAUUUUUCCUUUGUGUAAGGGUCUUAUGCCUGUCACUUGCUAAGGUGAAGAAGAGUCUGUGAACUACUAACAUCAGAUUCCACCUCUGACCUUUUUUCCAGGGUUUUCUUGUCUCCAAAUCUACCACUGUGGCAGAAAGUCCUAAUGCUACUCCCAAUCAUCUUCAUGUACACCAUACUCUCUUGGAAAUUUGAUUCACAGAAAUGAUAAGAUACGCUGGUGUCUUUACCAGGAGGAUCUUCCAACAGAGCAACAUAGAUGAAUAGAGCCAGCAUGGGGGACAGUACUGACAAAGCACUUACUUUGUCUCCAUAUUGGAUGCUGAGGCAUCUAGUAUUUCUAAUUUAGCAUUUUUGCCAGGAACUUUGAAUCCAAACUCCACUUUCAACAUAUACAUGUAAAUAAUUGUCAGGUUAUAUUCAUGAAAACAAGACCAAAACUUAGACCACAGAUUUUCCAGGGAAAAAUGAGUGCUGCAUUUCUGGCAAUUAGGAGCAGUAAAGUAAACAUUUAGUCACCAUUGACUCAUGAGCCGAAAAACACAGUAGUCAAUUACAGCUUUCGGCAGCAAUAAUUAAUAUGGUGUUGAUGAAAACUGUGUUUUUCACUCAACAUACAAAGCUAUUCCAGGUAAUUAAAUGUAACCUCAUCUAUGUGUAAUUUGUCUUUAAACUGCACACGAUACAGAAUUUCAACCUCAUAUCCCUGUAUUCUAAAGAGGAAAUGAUAUAGGAACAUUAUCUAAAGCAUAUACCCAAUAACCCUAACAUGAUUUGUUUGCAUUUAAAACUAUAUCACACUUUAUGAUUAAAUACCUCAGUGUGAAAAGGUUUGUAAUUUAAUCAUUUGCAGUCUUUCUUAGAUUACUUGUCAUUUCUGAUUUAUGGAGAUAGAGAGAUCAAUUUAAACCAUAUAUACCACAUACAUGUUUGUUUUCCAGUACGUUUUAACAUGCUAGGAGUUUUCCACAGACAUUAAAUAAGAAGAAAUUAAAUACUUACUAAAAGAUAACUGUCGCUAUUUCUGUUGUAAGACUUCUGGUAUAGUGUAUACUAUAUAGAGCAAAGAGAUGUUACAUGCAAAGUAGCCUUUAGCAUACCUAUUUGGUGUGAUUUUCCAAAAUGCAGGUUAUCAACAUUUCCCAGAGAAGAGAAGGAACCUUAAACAGUGACUUAUAGAGUGUAUUUAUAAGCUUGAGCAAUUUGGACUCCACAUUUUCAGCCCAAUUAUUUCCAGCUAUAAUUGUACUGUGGGGAAAAUAUUCUUUUAUCUCAGGAAGCUUUAAUUUACUCAUUCUUAGGUUUGCAGAAGCUUUUUUUUGUUUGUUUUUUUUGUUUGUUUGUUUUUGCAUACUAGGCAUUGAGAUAUUACUCUCAAAACAGUUGAAACAUAGAUGAGAGACUGGUUUAAAUCUGAGGUGUCAUUCCUACAUGGCUAAUACAAAUUAAAUAUUUCAUCUAAGCUAUGGAUUAGUUAUAGGAUCACAGAGUGGCUUAGGUUGUAGAGGACCUUAAAGAUUAUCUAGUUCAGUUCCAACCCCAUGAUAUGGGCAGGGUUGCCAAGCACUAGAUCCUAGAUCAGGAUUUCAUCCAACCUGGCCUUGAGUAGCUUCAGAGAUGAGGUAUUAACUUCUGAGUAAAAAAAUUCUUUCUAACAUCUCAUCAAUCUACUCUCUUUUAGUUUAAAGUUAUUCCCCUUUUUCCUGACAUCAGACCAUGUAAGUUGUCAUUCCCCCUCCUGUUUGUAAGCUCUCUUCAAGUACUGGAAGGCCACAAUGAUGUCUCACUGGAGCCUUCUCUUCUCCAAGCUAAAC